rnacentral:rRNA from 1 species
GAUGAACGCUAGCUACAGGCUUAACACAUGCAAGUCGAGGGGCAGCAUGAACUUAGCUUGCUAAGUUUGAUGGCGACCGGCGCACGGGUGAGUAACACGUAUCCAACCUUCCGUUUACUCAGGGAUAGCCUUUCGAAAGAAAGAUUAAUACCUGAUAGUAUGGUGAGAUUGCAUGAUAACACCAUUAAAGAUUUAUUGGUAAAACGAUGGGGAUGCGUUCCAUUAGGUAGUAGGCGGGGUAACGGCCCACCUAGCCUGCGAUGGAUAGGGGUUCUGAGAGGAAGGUCCCCCCACAUUGGAACUGAGACACGGUCCAAAAC